rnacentral:lncRNA from 1 species
AUGUUCAACCUCUUCGGAGAGGAAAGGGAUAUGUUGUUCAACCUCUUUGGAGAGGAAGGGGAUAUGUUGUUCAACCUCUUCGGAGAGGAAGGGGAUAUGUUGUUCAACCUCUUUGGAGAGGAAGGGGAUAUGUUGUUCAACCUCUUGGAGAGGAAGGGGAUAUGUUGUUCAACCUCUUCGGAGAGGAAGGGGAUAUGUUGUUCAACCUCUUCGGAGAGGAAGGGGAUAUGUUGUUCAACCUCUUUGGAAAGGAAGGGGAUAUGUUGUUCAACCUCUUCGGAGAGGAAGGGGAUAUGUUGUUCAACCUCUUCGGAGAGGAAGGGGAUAUGUUGUUCAACCUCUUCGGAGAGGAAGGGGAUAUGUUGUUCAACCUCUUUGGAAAGGAAGGGGAUAUGUUGUUCAACCUCUUCGGAGAGGAAGGGGAUAUGUUGUUCAACCUCUUCGGAGAGGAAGGGGAUAUGUUGUUCAACCUCUUGGAGAGGAAAGGGAUAUGUUGUUCAACCUCUUUGGAGAGGAAGGGGAUAUGUUGUUCAACCUCUUGGAGGGGAAGGGGGCAUGUUGUUUUACCUCCUGGAGGGGAUGAGUGCAGGGGGCAUGUUGUACCUCUUGGAGGGGAUGGGUGCAGGGGGCAUGUUGUUUUACCUCCUGGAGGGGAUGAGUGCAGGGGGCAUGUUGUUUUACCUCCUGGAGGGGAUGAGUGCAGGGGGCAAGUGGUACCUCUUGGAGGGGAUGAGUGCAGGGGGCAUGUUGUUUUACCUCCUGGAGGGGAUGAGUGCAGGGGACAUGUUGUACCACUUGGAGGGGAUGGGUGCAGGGGGCAUGUUGUUUUACCUCUUGGAGGGGAUGGGUGCAGGGGGCAUGUUGUUUUACCUACUGGAGGGGAUGAGUGCAGGGGGCAUGUUGUACCUCUUGGAGGGGAUGAGUGCAGGGGGCAUGUUGUACCUCUUGGAGGGGAUGGGUGCAGGGGACAUGUUGUUUUACGUCCUGGAGGGGAUGGGUGCAGGGGGCAUGUUGUACCUCUUGGAGGGGAUGAGUGCAGGAGGCAUGUUGUACCUCUUGGAGGGGAUGAGUGCAGGAGGCAUGUUGUACCUCUUGGAGGGGAUGAGUGCAGGAGGCAUGUUGUUUUACCUCCUGGAAGGGAAGGGUGCAGGGGGCAUUUCUCCUCCUAUCCCGUCACAGUAUCUCUCCAGGAAACUACGAAGGUAG